CGAAAACACCGGUCGUUUUGGGCGUACUUUGGCUGGUUUCCGACUUUGAAUUCGAACAGUGUGACUCAGACUUUGAGUCUAGUACAGUCAACAAGGACUUAAGUACAUACAGGUCCGCAGCUUCAGCUUCAAACGGACCAUGGCUAGGCCACACAGACUCAGUGCUUGUUUCGAAUAUUUUAUUAAACUUUUCGGUUUUAUUUGGAACACUUCAUAAUGGAACAAGACGAGUGGGUAAAACAACUGCGCCACGUUAAGGACGAUGGAGAGGGAUUAAUCAUGACAUGUACUGAAGGCAUUUUAAGCGACCAAUGCUCGACCGUGUAACAACUGGGUCCCUUCACGGAUGAUGGCCGGAGAUUAAUGGAGAGAUAGUAAUUGGAACAUGAUGAACUCAGACGACAACAGAGAAAAAACGUAAACACCACAGCUGGACAGAAUGUCAUUCUGACGUGUUGAGCUCCAAACUACAAUAUCAUAGUUGCAGAUUGGAGCAGAGCUGACCUGGGAUCAGAAUAUGUUCUUUUGUACCGGGAUGGAUGUUUUGAUCCAGAAAACCAGCAUCCAUCAUUUAAGAACCGGGUGGAUCUGCAGGACAGACAGAUGAAGGAUGGAGACGUGUCUCUGAUUCUGAAGAAUGUGACGAUUAAUGACACUGGAACAUACGAGUGUCGUGUUGCGAACAGAAGAACAAACCGUGGGAAAAGAGCUGUUUUGAAGAGCAACCCCAUCAGCAUCAUCCACCUGAGUGUUGUUGAUCCUCCAGGUCAGACAGGAGGACACACAGAGGAUGGAGGGAAGGAGGACAGAGUCAGUAGAGGACGUCCUGGUCUGUCAGCUUUUGCUGUGAUUUGUGUUGUGAUAGCUGCUUUUGUGAUCUCUGGAAAAUUGAAAAACACAAAUUCCUCAAUUCCGUCUCCUGAACAACAGGAAGCCUAAAAAAAAAAUGUUUACCAAGGACCCGACACACACACAGAGUGUUUUGCUGUGCUCAGAUUUUUUUAUUUUGUUUUUUUGUUCAGUUCUUUGGGCUAAGGCCCUCUGGCACCAGGAGGCAGCUCCUUCGUCAUCUCCUCCUCUGCACACUCAUGCACCUCGUCCAUCUCUGCCACCACUAUGCAUAUAGGGAGAGGGAGUCAUCAGUCACAGCACACACACCUGUACCACCCCUCCAAUGCAGCAGGGCAGAGACCACACCCCCGCCACAACAAGCUCUUUGCUUUUUUCUUUUUCUUUGUCUGCAGACAAACCAGUUUACUGUAACAGUACAGACAUGUCUGGGCAUUCCCGGAGCGUCAGCUCUCAUACAGGACAUCAGUCUCAGUCAUGUGUAAUGUUUGCUUUUAUUAUUCUUAUUGUUUGUGUUAGUCAAAUCUGACACUGUGAAUAAAUGAAGUUGUGGUUUCUUUCAGAUUCUGUUACUGUUUAAUCUCAGAGGUUAAACUGAGGUCCAGAAGUGUCUGAUGUGAUUUUAGAGCACUCUGUAAGAACAUACGAUCAUGUUACAUCAUUUAUUUAUUGGACACAGAAGCACUGAUUAUUUUUCUCUGCUGUUAUGAAGUGUUAAAGGUGAAAUCACAAUUUUCCACCUUUAAGAUUGUGUGAUCCUCUGAUUACUCUGAAGUGCUGAGCUAAGCUAUGCUGUGGCUUUACUCUGUGAAAGGAAAAGUUCUGUUAGUAUCUGAAGGUAUCCUGUAACUCGAGCUGUCAGAUUCAUGCAGAUAAAUGUUGAGAGUUGAAAGUUGAUUCUUGUCUUCUUGCUGUAAUUGAGCUGAACAACUGUUAAAGAACAAACACACAAAUGGAAACAGUCAUUCAGAGAGAAAUCAGUGAAGACAGUCUGAUGUUUAUCUCUUCAUAUCUGAUAAAAGCUUUUAAAUCAGGCUUCUUAUCAGUUGUUUGUAGAGUUUUCAAUAAUGAAUAAAGAUUUUUACAGUAAGCUAUUUUUUCCUGUGUGACAUAGAUGAGCUCCUAAAGCUCAGUCUAUGCUUGUAGGACAAGAAAGGCAACCACAGUCUGAACCAACCUCGGCUGUAAUUUGUCCAGCCCAUAGUCAACCAUGACCAAUUGGCCAAUCCAACACCUUUCACUGUUUAAAUCGUUACAAAAACAAACAAACAAAAAAACAUCAGCCCAUAAAAUUGGACAAAAACCAGGUAGGCCGAUGGCCAGUCCAGCUAUGGUGCAGCUCAUGAACACUUUGUCACGAGUGCCAAUAAAGAUAAGCUUCUACUGAAAGUCAGAGUUCAGCCUGUUUUCCUCAUAUUUUUACCAAGAUUAUGUUUUCUGAACCCACAGAGAGGAUGGGAAUGAUGUUUGUCUGAUGAUACAAACCUGUAAGCCUGUAAAUAAAUGACUCAGCAAAACACAAACACAACUGGUCAAAAUGUUAAUUUCGUAACAACAUCGUCCUCAGUUAAAGCAGAAAUAAGUUGGAGAAGGAAAGUUCACAUUUUCUCCUCCUGCAGUGUUUCAUUAAAGUUCUUUGCCUUAA